GUGCUCACUUCGGCAGCACAGAUACUAAAAUUGGAACAAUACAAAGAAGAUUAGCAUGACCCCUGCCAGGAAUGACACGCAAAUUUAUAAAAUGUUCCAUAUUUUU